GCUCUCUUAGGCCGAGUGGUUAUGGCGCAAGUUUCAGGUAGACCUGGAGCUCACGCUUCGAAUGGUAUAAUCGGAGUACUUGUGGGUAAAACCGCGUGGGUUCGAGUCCCACCCUCAUCA